AUUGAACGCUGGCGGCAGGCUUAACACAUGCAAGUCGAACGAGUGGCGGACGGGUGAGUAAUGCUUGGGAAUCUAGCUUAUGGAGGGGGAUAACUACUGGAAACGGUAGCUAAUACCGCAUACCAUCAGAUGGAGCCAUAUGGGAUUAGCGUGUAGGUGAGGUAACGGCUCACCAAGGCGACGAUCACUAGCUGGUCUGAGAGGAUGAUCAGCCACACUGGGACUGAGACACGGCCCAGACGCCUACGGGAGGCAGCAGUGGGGAAUAUUGCGCAAGGGGGGCAACCCUGACGCAGCCAGGCCGCGUGAAUGAAGAAGGUCUUCGGGUUGUAAAGUUCUUUCGGUAGAGAGGCGUUAACUACAGAAGAAGCACCGGCUAACUCCGUGCCAGCAGCCGCGGUAAUAC
rnacentral:rRNA from 1 species